GGCACGUACGCCGCGGUCGCCGCAGCCAUUUACUCUACCGGGCUGUGGUCUCUGCUGUCGCUGCGGCCCCGCUGCCGCCGUUGCCGCUACCGCCUCCGCUGCCUCUGCCGCCUCCGUCUCCUCUGCCGCCUCCGUCUCCGCUGUCGCCUCCGUCUCCGCUGCCGCCUCCGUCUCCGCUGUCGCCAUGGCUCAGUACAAGGGCGCCGCGAGCGAGGCGGGCCGCGCCAUGCACCUGAUGAAGAAGCGGGAGAAGCAGCGCGAGCAAAUGGAGCAGAUGAAGCAGCGGAUCGCCGAGGAGAACAUAAUGAAAUCCAACAUUGACAAGAAGUUCUCUGCUCACUACGACGCCGUGGAGGCGGAGCUCAAGUCCAGCACCGUGGGGCUGGUGACCCUGAAUGACAUGAAGGCCAAGCAGGAGGCGCUGGUGAAGGAACGGGAGAAGCAGCUGGCCAAGAAGGAGCAGUCCAAGGAGCUGCAGCUGAAGCUGGAGAAGCUGCGCGAGAAGGAGCGCAAAAAGGAGGCCAAGCGGAAGAUCUCCUGCCUGUCCUUCACGGUGGGUGAAGAGGAGGAGGUGAGCGAGGAGCUGGAGGAGGUGGCCCUGGAUGAGGAGGAGCUGGAAAGGGAAGAGAUCGCCACCAAGAAGAGGAAAUUGGGGAAGAACCCCGAUGUGGACACAAGCUUUUUGCCUGACCGCGACCGCGAGGAGGAGGAGAAUCGGCUCCGGGAAGAGCUGCGGCAAGAGUGGGAAGCCAAGCAGGAGAAGAUCAAGAGUGAGGAGAUUGAAAUCACCUUCAGUUACUGGGAUGGCUCCGGGCACCGCCGGACAGUCAAGAUGAAAAAAGGCAACACCAUGCAGCAGUUCCUGCAGAAGGCGCUCGAGAUCCUGCGCAAGGACUUCAGCGAGCUCAGGUCAGCGGGGGUGGAGCAGCUCAUGUACAUCAAGGAGGACCUAAUCAUACCCCACCACCACAGCUUCUACGAUUUCAUCGUCACCAAGGCACGAGGGAAGAGUGGCCCACUCUUUAAUUUCGACGUUCAUGAUGAUGUGCGGCUGCUCAGUGACGCCACUGUGGAGAAGGACGAGUCACAUGCGGGCAAGGUGGUGCUGAGGAGCUGGUACGAGAAGAACAAGCACAUCUUCCCCGCCAGCCGCUGGGAACCCUACGACCCCGAGAAGAAGUGGGACAAGUACACGAUCCGGUGAAUGCAGAGGUGGAGCAGGCUUGCUCCCCCAGUUCCCUCCAGUCUCCCCACUCCCCGUAUCUCCAGGAUUCCAGAUGUCCAGCUUCCCCCCCUCGUGACAUGACUGAUCAUCCCCUGCCCCUGACGCUGUCAUUUACUGCUUUUUUCUUUUGUGAUAAAGAAAUGUACAUGUUAGAAUCAGA